rnacentral:rRNA from 1 species
UACGUAGGGUGCAAGCGUUAAUCGGAAUUACUGGGCGUAAAGCGUGCGCAGGCGGUUGUUCAAGACAGAUUUGAAAUCCCCGGGCUUAACCUGGGAAUUGCAUUUGUGACUGCACGGCUAGAGUGUGUCAGAGGGGGGUAGAAUUCCACGUGUAGCAGUGAAAUGCGUAGAUAUGUGGAGGAAUACCGAUGGCGAAGGCAGCCCCCUGGGAUAACACUGACGCUCAUGCACGAAAGCGUGGGGAGCAAACAGG